rnacentral:misc_RNA from 1 species
UGACUUACAUGCAAUCAACAAGUAGGUCGCGAUCUUGCACGUUGCGGUCAAGAUUGUCAAGAUUUAAUGACACUGUCAGUUUGGAAGGACGCUACUGCUAUCUCUUCUAAAGCAGCAGGACGAACCCACACUUAUUCCUUUUUAGCGUUUCCGUGAUUGACAGCUGAUUGUGAAGGUAGCGUGUUAAUCUGAAUAAAGACAUCUGGCUUGGUGGGUUACCGGUUACCGUGACGAUGCCACCAGGAGCUGUACCAUUCCCGUUUGGAGACUGUCGCAUCUGUAAUGACAGAGCCACUGGAGUACAUUAUGGUCUUGCCACUUGUGAAGGUUGUAAGGGCUUCUUCAAGAGGAGCAUCCCCAAGGGAGAUAAGUACAAGUGUUUCUUCGGGGGUCAGUGUGUAAUCACUCCACAGAACAGGAACCGUUGUAAGUCAUGUCGCUACAGGAAGUGUCUGGAGCUCGGCAUGUCAUUCGAAGCUGUGAAGAUGGGUCGAAUUCCGAAGAUGGAGAAACAGAGAGCUCUAGACGCUGCCAGGAACCCUGGUAACUGUACGGAGUCCCCGGACAGUGGGAUAGACGAUGAGGUGUUCAACCCUGUCACAGGUCAUGUGACCAAUCAGUUGACCAGUCAGUUAAAUAAUCAGUUGACCAAUCAGUUGACUAAUCAAGUCACCAGCCAAAUGUCCAAACUCCUCAGCAGUGAUGUGGCUCCUCAUCAACAUCCUGCCUAUGGAAACAGCCCUCGUGAAGUGAGCCAGCUUCCGCCCACUUACCAACACAUGCCCUCCCACAUGUUCAAUGAAGCGUUUCCUCCUGUACCGUGGGAUGAUCAUAUUGGUAGUUAUUCCGAGCGAAAAGAUCAAUCCAAAGACAGUCAUCAUGUGGAUGACCUGGACGGAUCAGGCACGUCUAAUAUGAACUUACUGGCGGAAACUGCCUUGUUGCCAAAGAUGUCCAAAAGCAGUGUUCCAGAAGACGGUGAUGACAGCAACGCAUCCAGCAGUAGCUGUUCCAUGUACAGCCCGAACGUCAUCAAGGUCUUGUUCAAUCAGGUUGUGGAGAUGACGGGCGGCACCAAGGUGCCUGAGAUGGUCAUUGAGAAACUAGCCAAGAAGUGCCCAAACAAUAGCAGCAUGCGUCUGCUGAAACGUCUCUCCAGUGAAACUUACAUCAAUACUUCUACGCAAGGAGAAGACAUGAGUUCUGUUCACGAUGGAAUGAGCGAGUCAGGACAGGAGUGGUCUCCCUUGGCUGGUCAGUUGUUUACAUCAAGCGGAUGUCCGUCGUCGAAUUGGACCAAAACUGGUUUAAAGCAGAACAGCUUCAGUCCAAGUGAGCAGCAGCCGAGAUAUUUUGACAGUUCUGUCUUCCCUCAUAGUGAUAAUCCUGCAGAUAGGAUUGACACGAAACAGGGACAUCAUAUCGAUGCUCAAUACGUUGCUAGCAGUGACACCGACUACUACACCAGAGAACAGACAGACCAACAAGUGCAUUCUUUUCAUCAAGACACAUUCAUGCAUAACCCAUCUUAUCCGGUUCAAGGUCACAAUGAAGGUCAAGAUCAUGAAUGGCCAAUGGAUUGUUCUGCUACAGUUUCAGCGCAAUAUAGCAGUCACACUGAACCCUCUUGGUCACAUGGUCAGGAUCAACCAAUCACUUCAACUGAUACAGAAAUGAUACAGGGCAGUGACACCAAUGACAGAUCUGAUGAUAUUGAAACAGAAAAUGGUGAAAGUUCGGCAGAAGACAUUUUCAGUAGAGGUGGUGAAGAGGCAUUUGAUUCAUUAGUUAGAGGCCUGGAGAAGGCGCUGGAGGUCGGCAGUGGACCAUUCCAAGAGGCACGACACCAUGCCCGCGCCUUUAUCAGCCAGAAGCUUCCAAUGCCGAGGGAAGAAAUAACAGAAGAAACUGUGAAGGACACGUGGAACCAGCUGUUCCGCGGAAUUCACACCACUAAUGAGAGAAUCAUAGGUUUCUGCAAUGCUGUUCCUGGCUUCUCUAAGCUCAACGUGGAUGACCAGAAGAUGCUGUUGAAGCGAGCCUACUACGAUAUCUGGAUGCUAACAUGCAGUGAGUUCUUCGUUGAUGGAGAGUCGUAUCUGCGCUUCCCCAAUGGGAGGUACUACAACCGCUUCUGGAUGGAGUUCGUCAUCAAGGUGGACAACGUCCGACUGCUGUUCUCCUUUGCGGAGAUUUUCAACAAACUCCAACUGUCAGAUUUAGAGAUUGCCAUCAUCGCAGCUAUACAGCUGACAUCUCCCAGACCUGACAACCUUGAGUUGAAGGAUUCCGUUGCAAUUCAGAAGCUCAACUCUGUCUACCUUGACCUCCUUGUCCACAUCAUCACCAAGCGCAACCCUGACAACAGCAGCCGCAUUCUUGUCGACAUCUUCCGACUCCUGCCACAGCUAGCAGAGGUGAACAAGAUGCAGCAAAACCUUAUUGCAAACUUCACACACGACUCUCCACCGAGUUAGCUAGAGGCCACACAAGACUGUCCACCGCGUUAGCUGAAGACCAUCCAGUUAGCUACAGGUCACACAAGAUGCCUCGUCCAGUUAGCUACAGGUCACACAAUAUGCCUCAUCCAGUUGGCUACAGGUCACACAAUAUGCCUCGUCCAGUUAGCUAAAGGUCACACAAUAUGCCUUGUCCAGUUGGCUACAGGUCACACAAUAUGCCUCGUCCAGUUAGCUACAGGUCACACAAUAUGCCUCGUCCAGUUAGCUACAGGUCACACAAUAUGCCUCAUCCAGUUGGCUACAGAUCACACAAUAUGCCUCAUCCAGUUGGCUACAGGUCACACAAGAUACUUCGUCCAGUUAGCUACAGGUCACACAAUAUGCCCUGUCCAGUUGCCUACAGAUCACACAAGAUGCCUCAUCCAGUUGGCUACAGGUCACACAAGAUACUUCGUCCAGUUAGCUACAGGUCACACAAGAUACUUCGUCAUGCUAGCUACAGGUCACACAAUAUGCCCUGUCCAGUUGCCUACAGAUCACACUAUGCCUCAUCCAGUUGACUACAGGUCACACAAGAUACUUCGUCCAGUUAGCUACAGGUCACACAAGAUACUUCGUCCAGCUAGCUACAGGUCACACAAUAUGCCCUGUCCAGUUGCCUACAGGUCACACAAUUUGCCCUGUCCAGUUGGCUACAGGUCACACAAUAUGCCUGUUCCAGUUAGCUACAGGUCACACAAUAUGCACUGUCCAGUUGGCUACAGGUCACACAAUUUGCCCUGUCCAGUUGGCUACAGGUCACACAAUAUGCCUCGUCCAGUUGGCUACAGGUCACACAAGAUGCCUGUUCCAGUUAGCUACAGGUCACACAAUAUGCACUGUCCAGUUGGCUACAGGUCACACAAUAUGCCCUGUCCAGUUGGCUACAGGUCACACAAUAUGCCUUGUCCAGUUGGCUACAGGUCACACAAUUUGCCCUGUCCAGUUGGCAACAGGUCACACAAUAUGACCUGUCCAGUUGGCUACAGGUCACACAAUAUGCCUUGUCCAGUUGGCUACAGGUCACACAAUAUGCCUCGUCCAGUUAGCUACAGGUCACACAAUAUGCCCUGUCCAGUUGGCUACAGGUCACAUAAUAUGCCUCGUCCAGUUGGCUACAGGUCACACAAUAUGCCCUGUCCAGUUGGCUACAGGUCACACAAUAUGCCUCAUCCAGUUAGCUACAGGUCACACAAUAUGCCCUGUCCAGUUGGCUACAGGUCACACAAUAUGCCUCGUCCAGUUGGCUACAGGUCACACAAUAUGCCUCGUCCAGUUAGCUACAGGUCACACAAUAUGCCCUGUCCAGUUAGCUACAGGUCACACAAUAUGCCCUGUCCAGUUAGCUACAGGUCACACAAUAUGCCCUGUCCAGUUGGCUACAGGUCACACAAUAUGCCUUGUCCAGUUGGCUACAGAUCACACAAUAUGCCCUGUCCAGUUAGAUACAGGUCACACAAGAUGCUUCGUCCAGUUGGCUACAGGUCACACAAUAUGCUUGUGUGCAUGCAAGGUGUUCACAGACUCUGCAUGCUUUGCUUGUGUAUUGUUAUAUCAGCAGUCCAUGUGUAAUGUGAUGAAUACAUGCAUAAUAGAUUAUUAUAUUAGAUUAUAUAUUUGUUAUAAUUAUAUGAGACAAUGUUAUGAUUAUAUAAGAAUUAUCAUAUUUUAUAUAUUAUACACAAUCAUGUUUGUCAAUGUUUUCACAUAUUAUAUAACAUCACUUGUGUAACAUCACUUUUAUGACAUCACUUGUGGACCAUCACUUGUGGACCAUCACUUGUGGAACAACACUUUUAUGAUAUCACUUGUGGACCAUCACUUGUGGACCAUCACUUGUGGAACAACACUUUUAUGACAUCACUUGUGGACCAUCACUUGUGGACCAUCACUUGUGGAGCAACACUUUUAUGACAUCACUUGUGGACCAUCACUUGUGGACCAUCACUUGUGGAACAACACUUUUAUGACAUCACUUGUGGAACAUCACUUCUGUAACAUCACUUGUGGACCAUCACUUGUUCUGUGUGUUGUUACUGACCGUGCCUUUUCAAGACAUUUUUAAAUCCUUUGUAAAACCAGUGAGAUGAAUUGUUAUCAGAUAUGAUACUAUCAUAAUGUUGUUAUUUUCUUAUUAAUUGUUUUGUUGUUCUCAUGAUAUUCUGAUAUUGUUGUAAUGUUCUCGUGUUUUAAAUAUUGAGAUUAGUUUCCAUGUCCUUGAUGGAAACAUGUUUGUAUUUCCGUAUCAACAUGUAGAUAUAUAGAUAUAUCAUUGUCCUGACAGUGGUACAUGUAGAUAUAUCAUUGUCCUGACAGUGGUACAUGUAGAUAUUUAGAUAUAUCAUUGUCCUGACAGUGGUACAUGUAGAUAUAUCAUUGUCCUGACAGUGGUACAUGUAGAUAUAUAGAUAUAUCAUUGUCCUGACAGUGGUAUAUUUAGAUAUAUCAUUGUCCUGACAUUGGUACAUUAGAUAUAUAGAUAUAUCAUUGUCCUGACAGUGGUACAUGUAGAUAUAUAGAUAAAUCAUGGUCCUGACAGUGGUACAUUAGAUAUACAGAUAUAUCAUUGUACUGACAGUGGUACAUGUAGAUAUAUAGAUAUAUCAUUGUCCUGACAGUGCCUCAUGUGGAUAUAUCAUUGUCCUGACAGUGGUACAUGUAGAUGUAUAGAUAUAUUAUUGUCCUGACAGUGGUACAUGUAGAUAUAUAGGUACAUGUAUAUCAUUGUCCUGACAGUGGUACAUGUGGAUAUAUAGAUAUAUCAUUGUCCUGACAGUGGUACAUGUAGAUAUAUCAUUGUCCUGACAGUGGUACAUGUAGAUAUAUAGAUAUAUCAUUGUCCUGACAGUGGUACAUGUAGAUAUUUAGAUAUAUCAUUGUCCUGACAGUGGUACAUGUAGAUAUAUCAUUGUCCCGACACUGGUACAAGUAGAUAUUUAGAUAUAUCAUUGUCCUGACAGUGGUACAUGUAGAUAUAUCAUUGUCCUGACAGUGGUACAUGUAGAUAUAUAGAUAUAUCAUUGUCCUGACAGUGGUAUAUUUAGAUAUAUCAUUGUCCUGACAUUGGUACAUUAGAUAUAUAGAUACAUCAUUGUCCUGACAGUGGUACAAGUAGAUAUAUAGAUAAAUCAUGGUCCUGACAGUGGUACAUUAGAUAUACAGAUAUAUCAUUGUACUGACAGUGGUACAUGUAGAUAUAUAGAUAUAUCAUUGUCCUGACAGUGCCUCAUGUGGAUAUAUCAUUGUCCUGACAGUGGUACAUGUAGAUGUAUAGAUAUAUUAUUGUCCUGACAGUGGUACAUGUAGAUAUAUAGGUACAUGUAUAUCAUUGUCCUGACAGUGGUACAUGUGGAUAUAUAGAUAUAUCAUUGUCCUGACAGUGGUACAUAUGGAUAUAUAGAUAUAUCAUUGUCCUGACAGUGGUACAUUAGAUAUAUAGAUAUAUCAUUGUCCUGGCAGUGGUACAUGUAGAUAUAUAGAUAUAUCAUUGUCCUGACAGUGAUACAUGUGGAUAUAUAGAUAUAUCAUUGUCCUGACAGUUGUACAUGUAGAUAUAUAGAUAUAUCACUGUCCUGACAGUGGUACAUGUAGAUAUAUAGAUAUAUCAUU